CCUACGGGAGGCUGCAGUGGGGAAUAUUGGACAAUGGGGGGAACCCUGAUCCAGCCAUGCCGCGUGUGUGAAGAAGGCCCUCGGGUUGUAAAGCACUUUCAGUGAGGAAGAACGCCUGGUGGUUAAUACCCAUCAGGAAAGACAUCACUCACAGAAGAAGCACCGGCUAACUCCGUGCCAGCAGCCGCGGUAAUACGGAGGGUGCGAGCGUUAAUCGGAAUUACUGGGCGUAAAGCGCGCGUAGGUGGCUUGAUAAGCCGGUUGUGAAAGCCCCGGGCUCAACCUGGGAACGGCAUCCGGACCUGUCAAGCUAGAGUGCAGGAGAGGAAGCUAGAAUCCCCGGGGGAGCGUUGAAAUGCGUAGAGAUCGGGAGGAAUACCAGUGGCGAAGGCGGCCUUCUGGACUGACACUGACACUGAGGUGCGAAAGCGUGGGUAGCAAACAGGAUUAGAUACCCGGGUAGUC
rnacentral:rRNA from 1 species